rnacentral:rRNA from 1 species
CAUGUCCUUUUGAUUAUAAUUUAAGGUUUAAUCUGCUCAAUGAGUGUUUAAAUAGCCGCGGUAUUUUGACCGUGCAAAGGUAGCAUAAUAAUUAGCUUUUUUAUUGGGAGCUGGAAUGAAUGAUUGGACGAGAAAAUAACUGUCUCUUUUUUAUGAAUUGAACUUAACUUUUUAGUGAAAAGGCUUAAAUUUUAAUUAAAGACGAGAAGACCCUAUAGAGUUUAAUUGUUUUAAUGUAGUGUUUUUGUUUAGAAUUUAUUUAAUGUUAUGUUAAUAUAAUUUGAUUGGGGUGAUUUUUAGAUUUGGUAAACUCUAAUAGCUUAAAAUCAUUGAUUUGUGAAUGUUGAUUCUAGAAUUAUUUAAUUUUAAAAUAAAUUACCUUAGGGAUAACAGCGUAAUUUCGCUUUAGAGUUCUCAUUAAAAGCGUAGUUUGCGACCUCGAUGUUGGAUUAAAAUAAAUUAUUGGCGCAGUGGCUGAUGGAUUGAGUCUGUUCGACUUUUAAAAUUUUACAUGAUCUGAGU